rnacentral:rRNA from 1 species
ACUAAGCAUAUCAAUAAGCGGAGGAAAAGAAACCAACAGGGAUUGCCUCAGUAACGGCGAGUGAAGCGGCAACAGCUCAAAUUUGAAAUCUGACCCCUUCGGGGCCCGAGUUGUAAUUUGUAGAGGAUGCUUCGGGUGCGGCGCCGGUCUAAGUUCCUUGGAACAGGACGUCAUAGAGGGUGAGAAUCCCGUAUGCGACCGGCGGUCAACCCCAUGUGAAGCCCCUUCGACGAGUCGAGUUGUUUGGGAAUGCAGCUCAAAAUGGGUGGUAAAUUUCAUCUAAAGCUAAAUACCGGCCAGAGACCGAUAGCGCACAAGUAGAGUGAUCGAAAGAUGAAAAGCACUUUGGAAAGAGAGUCAAACAGUACGUGAAAUUGUUGAAAGGGAAGCGCUUGCAACCAGACCUGCCCCCGGGCGAUCAGCCGUUAUUUUUAGCGGUGCACUCGUCCGCGAUCAGGCCAGCAUCGGUUCGGGCGGCCGGAUAAAGGCCCCGGGAAUGUAGCUCCCCCCGGGGAGUCUUAUAGCCCGAGGUGCAAUGCGGCCAGCCCGGACCGAGGACCGCGCUUCGGCUAGGAUGCUGGCGUAAUGGUUGUAAGCGACCCGUCUUGAAACACGGACC